GCCUGGGUGGCUCAGUCGGUUAAGCGUCUGACUUCAGCUCAGGUCAUGAUCUCACAGUUUGUGAGUUCAAGCCCGCAUCAGGCU
rnacentral:tRNA from 1 species